rnacentral:rRNA from 1 species
AUUGAACGCUGGCGGCAGGCCUAACACAUGCAAGUCGAGCGAGUGGCGGACGGGUGAGUAAUGUCUGGGGAACUGCCCGAUGGAGGGGGAUAACUACUGGAAACGGUGGCUAAUACCGCAUACCAUCGGAUGUACCCAUAUGGGAUUAGCUAGUAGGUGGGGUAAAGGCUCACCUAGGCGACGAUCUCUAGCUGGUCUGAGAGGAUGAUCAGCCAAACGGGAACUGAGACACGGUCCAGACUCCUACGGGAGGCAGCAGUGGGGAAUAGUGCACAAUGGGCGCAAGCCUGAUGCAGCCAUGCCGCGUGUAUGAAGAAGGCCUUAGGGUUGUAAAGUACUUUCAGCGGGGAGGCGUUACCCGCAGAAGAAGCACCGGCUAACUCCGUGCCAGCAGCCGCGGUAAUAC